rnacentral:tRNA from 1 species
CCCAGGGUAGCCAAGUGGUUAAGGCAACGGUCUGUAAAACCGUGUAUCGCAGGUUCGAAUCCCGCCCCUGGGACCA